rnacentral:rRNA from 1 species
GACGAACGCUGGCGGCGUGCUUAACACAUGCAAGUCGAACGAUGAACUUGGAGCUUGCUCUGGCGGAUUAGUGGCGAACGGGUGAGUAACACGUGAGUAACCUGCCCUGGACUCUGGGAUAACUUCGAGAAAUCGGAGCUAAUACCGGAUAGGACCUUGCACCGCAUGGUGUGGGGUGGAAAGUUUUUUGGUUUGGGAUGGACUCGCGGCCUAUCAGCUUGUUGGUGAGGUAAUGGCUCACCAAGGCGUCGACGGGUAGCCGGCCUGAGAGGGUGACCGGCCACACUGGGACUGAGACACGGCCCAGACUCCUACGGGAGGCAGCAGUGGGGAAUAUUGCACAAUGGGCGCAAGCCUGAUGCAGCAACGCCGCGUGCGGGAUGACGGCCUUCGGGUUGUAAACCGCUUUUAGUAGGGAAGAAGCCUUCGGGUGACGGUACCUGCAGAAAAAGGACCGGCUAACUACGUGCCAGCCGCCGCAGUAACAC